AGGGGUGGAGGGCCAUAGCUCAGUGGUAGAACAUCUGCUCUGAAAACAGAAGGUCCCAGGUUCAAUCCCCAGCAUCUCUA